AAAAACAUUCUUGAAGAUGUUCCCUCUUCCUCCUUCUUGUAUAAUCCUUGCCCCCAAACUCAACUUCCCCUUCAGAAUCUCAGACAGAUUAGGACCCAUUUUCACUGCAGAGUCAUGCAUGCAAACAGCACAUGGUGAGUUAAUCUAAUGUUCAAUAGAAUUGAUCACUUUUUUUAUAAUAUGGAGUGUGAUCUCUCAACUUUGAAUUACCAUGGUCAUGAAUCCUACAUGUAAAACUGCUGCUUUUUCCUGUGUCAUUUUCUUUACCUGCAGAAGGUACAAUAGAACUCCCUUUAUAGUCUGUUACAUGUUUAGUCUCGUGCAUCGAUGUCAUGAGUAAAAGUGUAAAACC
rnacentral:lncRNA from 1 species